rnacentral:lncRNA from 1 species
GCGACUCCUGCGCAAGCGCAGAGUGAAGGGCCGGGAACAGUGGAGGGUGCGAGGAAGACAAUGGGGGAGGACCCUGAGGCGGCCUCUGUGAGCCGACAGGAACACGUGGUCGAUCAGAGAGAGACUCGUAAGUGCACGGAGCUGAUGAGGAGGUUCGUGAACGGAUGGGGAGGACCCUGAAAAGCACUGUGGAAUACAGGUUUCUAGUAACUUCAAAAUCACAUCAUUUGGACUGGGUAAGAAUUGCUGAAACUUUAAUGAAAAGACUGACUGGCUUAUAAAACUGCUAACCCAAAUAGAAUAAAAAUUAAUUGAAUACCGAGGAAAUGCUUCACCAGGUUUGCAUACUUAAUCAGCCUAUACUGAAAUUGUUUAGAUAUACAAUUUGAAUGAACUCCAUGGUCUAAGUCAAAUUACCUGUGAUAACCCAUCAGUUAUCCAUGCUAUGUGCCCAAUUUGGAGAAACAACUGGCACCCAAGAGGACAUAAGUCCGAUGUUAAGCAUGGACUCAUGGAGAACCAAGAUGGCUGCCUUGUCCUUCGUGAGUCCUUAAAGCUUUUGUUAUUAAAAGUUAUGCAUUCCAUGACUCAUCCUGGAAAAGAUAAAAUGAUCCAAAUUAAAUAUGUUGGUGUGGUGACUUACAGAUUGUUAAAAUAGUUUAUAAACAAUGUUUAGUUUGUCAAACCCAUACUCCUGGGAAGUCAAUCAAAGCUUCAUGUACAUUUGGCUACCUGAUGAGGCAUUUAAACAUUUAUAAAGGGGUUUCAUUCAGUUGUCAUUUUCAAUGUAUGUGUUCUGGUUGUACUAAAGCUUUCCCAUGCAGGAGGGCUAAUGUUAUAACAGUAGAUUACUAUGUAUCAGUGUAUUUUCACCAGGUAAAGAGCUUUUUAUGGUUCACUGAGGACAAUCAACCCCUUCACAAUCUAGAACCCAAAGAUGGGAUCUUCUGAGAACAUCAGAGAAACGCUGCCCUUGGCAUCAUCACUGCAACAAAACAUCAGGAUCUUGAACCUUGGGGUCAUAAUCUCACAACUGAGCAGGGUCACUCUUGGAACUCUACAUCCAUUGAAACCCUUAAGGUAAAGCUAAUCAGGGAAGUUUCUCCCCAGAAGAAGAUGGCAUCCUUGAUGUGAGCAGCUCUUUCUGAAGAUCAUGGAUCAAGACUUCUUACUAUCAUGAGACUCUUAUCUUUGAAUGUUUUUCCGUUGCUUCCGCCUCUGUGAACAACAGAAGUGAGAAGGGGGUCUGUUUUGUGCACUUAUGGGGUAUACUUUUAUUUGUGAAGGGCUUUGCAGCCAGCUUUAUACAUGGAUAAUCUUAUAACUUGAUAGAUAAAGAUGAAGGCCCAGUGUAUCAUAGGUGAGAAACUUCAAUGGUACAUAUGGUGCCUCAUAAUCAUUCAGAAGCAGAACAUUGGUUCACUCCUCUUAACCCACAGCAUGGGUUAAAGAGACCAUUGCCAAGAGGCCUUCCCUCUUCUAGAAGGGCAUCAUUUGUUAGGUCCUUUUUCCAUGGUUUGGAAUUAAAAAGGCAAUGACUAGAAACAUAUCCCUCAUGGUAGACUCUGUAGCAGAUUCUACUGUAAAGGCUACACAACAGAUGUUAAAUUCUCUUGUGAAAGUUAUGCUAAAAAAUAGAAUUGGCUAAACAGGAAAGUACCUGUGCAGAUGCUGGCACUUAAGGCCUAUGGAGAAAACAUCAGGUGUUAUAGAGAGUCUGUUGUAGGGAAUUAACGAAAAGACCACUGAGUUAAGUCAAAGAAUGGUCUAUUUGAGUUUAGGUGGUCUGGUUUAUGGGGACCCUGGCUAAGGAGCAUACUCCAAAUUCUUGGUGUUAACCCUCUCAGUAGUCAUAAGAAUAGUCUCCCUGGUGCACUGUAUUCUCUCAAAGGUUUUAAAUGUUUGCAUGAAGCCAUCUUUAGAACGUCAGAUGGUCUCUCUUCAACUGGAAUGACAAGAGCUGAAAGAAAUGUGUGACCACGAGGACACCGAAACCGAUGAGUGACAUGCUGAGACUGGAAAUCCAAAAUGAUAGUAACGGAGAGUGGCGCUAACAUCCUAAGUUUUGGUCACACUCUUGCCUAAGUGACAACCUGACAAAGGGGGAAUUUUUUAAACAAAAUGAUGGGAGGCCAUUGUUUUGGACUGAGCACUAGGUCCCAACAGACCAAACCGAACCAAAAUGGCAUCAUUCGUGCUAAAUGUGACAUAAUCGAAUUAAGACUUUAAGGAAACACAUGGGUCCUAGAAUAGACCAGGUUUUGUUUUUCUCUUGCAAACAGGACUUUCCAGCAUAAGGUGGUAUCCUCAACUCAGUCCUUGUUCCUACCUUUGCAAAACUCACUGUUCUGCUUCCUAGUGGGUUUCAAGACCAAUGGUGACAGUGACAUCAAUAACUCAAGUUUCGAUCAAUCUCUCAAAACUGAUAAAAUGACCAAAAAGGGGGAAUUGUUAAAGCGAACUAAAUAUGGCCUGAGAAGGACUCCGUACUUCUGUAUUGGAGUCCCUGUGAACAAACUGAGCCUAACUUAAUAGGUAGACAAGAUUGAAAACCUAAAUUAGGAGUAUGUACCUGUCACAAUUGCUGAGUCUCGGCCAGUCCCAGCAGCCGUACUUCAAUCACUCAUACACUGCUGAAUGUUCAAACUGUGUGUAAAUAAGGCAAAUGCCAACCUGUAACUAAUCCAGGUGUUUCUCUACCUCACUUCCCUUUUUUUGUCUAUAAAUCUUCCACCACGUGGCUGCACUGGAGUCUCUCUGAAUCUGCUGUAAUUCUGGGGGCUGCCCGAUGUGCAAAUCAUUCAUUGCUCAAUUAAACUCCUUUAAAUUUAAUUCAGCUGAAGUUUUC